rfam:Brachypodium distachyon strain Bd21 chromosome 2, whole genome shotgun sequence.
GAUCCCACGAAAGUCCUGCUUCUAGUUCAUUUUUCAAAUCUUCUAUUCAAAGUUUUGCUCAAAAUUUGAAUAGGAGAUUUGAAAAUUGCACUAGAAUCGGGACUUUUGCGG